AUGAAGGUGGAGCAGAUGCCUUCAUCCCUGAGUCUCCAGGAGGGAACCAGCUCUACACUGAGAUGCAGCUUUUCCACCACAGCAUACUAUGUGCAGUGGUUCCGACAGAAUCCAGGGGGAGGCCUCAUCAGUCUCUUUUUCAUCGCUUCAGAGCCGAAGAACAUCGAGGCCUUGCAGCUGCAGGACUCAGCCACCUACUUCUGUGCGGCGAGCACAGUGGUCCCAGGUGAGCUGCAGCCUGACCCCAAACUGCAGCUGGGUCACAGUCAGGGGCCCUGCCACCGCAGCGUUCUACAGCCUUGGCCUUCCUGA